rnacentral:rRNA from 1 species
AUUGAACGCUGGCGGCAUGCUUUACACAUGCAAGUCGAACGGUAACGGGCCGCAAGGUGCUGACGAGUGGCGAACGGGUGAGUAAUGCAUCGGAACGUGCCCAGUCGUGGGGGAUAACGCAGCGAAAGCUGUGCUAAUACCGCAUACGAUCUAUGGAUGAAAGCGGGGGACCGUAAGGCCUCGCGCGAUUGGAGCGGCCGAUGUCAGAUUAGGUAGUUGGUGGGGUAAAGGCUCACCAAGCCGACGAUCUGUAGCUGGUCUGAGAGGACGACCAGCCACACUGGGACUGAGACACGGCCCAGACUCCUACGGGAGGCAGCAGUGGGGAAUUUUGGACAAUGGGCGCAAGCCUGAUCCAGCAAUGCCGCGUGCAGGAAGAAGGCCUUCGGCUUGUAAACUGCUUUUGUACGGAACGAAACGGUCUGGGUUAAUACCCUGGGCUAAUGACGGUACCGUAAGAAUAAGCACCGGCUAACUACGUGCCAGCCGCCGCAGUAAUAC